AUUGAACGCUGGCGGCAGGCUUAACACAUGCAAGUCGAGCGGGGGAAGGUAGCUUGCUACCGGACCUAGCGGCGGACGGGUGAGUAAUGCUUAGGAAUCUGCCUAUUAGUGGGGGACAACAUCUCGAAAGGGAUGCUAAUACCGCAUACGUCCUACGGGAGAAAGCAGGGGAUCUUCGGACCUUGCGCUAAUAGAUGAGCCUAAGUCGGAUUAGCUAGUUGGUGGGGUAAAGGCCUACCAAGGCGACGAUCUGUAGCGGGUCUGGGAGGAUGAUCCGCAACACUGGGACUGAGACACGGCCCAGACUCCUAAGGGAUGCAGCAGUGGGGAAUAUUGGACAAUGGGGGGAACCCUGAUCCAGCCAGGCCGCGUGUGUGAAGAAGGCCUUAUGGUUGUAAAGCACUUUAAGCGAGGAGGAGGCUACUUUAGUUAAUACCUAGAGAUAGUGGACGUUACUCGCAGAAUAAGCACCGGCUAACUCUGUGCCAGCAGCCGCGGUAA
rnacentral:rRNA from 1 species